rfam:Pseudomonas sp. Chol1 Contig77, whole genome shotgun sequence.
GAACCAGGGGGACGGGUUGCUCUGCAUGGCGGCGUGACCCAGGGGUACAGGGAGUACCUUCGGCAACGGUCCGGGUUCGGCUGGUG